GAUAUUCUCGUCUGUCACAUGGACUCCUACAAAAGAUAUCGUAUGGAAAGAGAUAUCUUCAAGAGUAGAGAUAUUAGACUUUAUUUAUAGGUAUUAGAAGAUAAGAAAUUUUUAUCUUUUUAGAUGUAGAACUAAUGACCAGAGAAGAUAGAGAGAUGGUUAGGUUUUUCUUAUUUUUUGUUUUUUUUUAUAUUUUAAUGCUCAAAAUUCUGACCACGCCGCGUCCC
rnacentral:lncRNA from 1 species